rnacentral:rRNA from 1 species
AUGAAAGGAAUCGAACGUCUUAGCACCACUGAAGACCUGCUUUCUUUUAUUGACCUUUGGCACCGGAUUCAAGGAAUUACUCUUUCGGAUCAUCCAGACGACAUUGAAUGGAAAUGGAACGACAGCAAAACGUACACUGCUGCAACUGCCUAUGAUGCCCAAUUCAUCGGAACCAUUGCGAAGCCAGAGUUAAAUGCCAUUUGGAAAGCAAAGGUGGAGGGAAAAAUCAAAUUUUUUGCUUGGCUGCUAGCUCAAAAUAGACUGCCAACUGCUGAUCGUCUCCGUGCGAGAGGAUGUGAACACAAUAGACUACCUUCAUGUUUGCAACAUUAUUAUUGGCAUUAUAUGAUAUGA